rnacentral:lncRNA from 1 species
CGACUGGAUGCCCCCCACCCCAGCCAUGCCAAACCUCUGGCUCUGCCCGUAUUUGGAGAGUCUUUGCAGAUGUGGGUGAGGAUGAGGUCAUACUGGAUGAGGACAGGCCGUAAAUCCAACCACGGUGUCCUUACAGGAGAGGAGGACACAGAGAGAAGGACGCACAGCGGAAGAUGGCCUCUCGGUCGCAGGGAGGUAACUCCUUGUCGAGGACCAUCGAGGAGGACGGGCCCCGUCCACAGUGGACAGAGGCAAGGAAGGAGGCCUCUGCCCUCGCCAAGGGCCUCAGAAGGAGCCUGCUGAUUUGAUUUCAGACCCCCGUUUCCCAGGACUGUGAGGGGUCGCCCUCAUGUGGCUUCAGACGGCCUGGUUGGCGGUCACCCGUUACAGCAGCCCGGGACCUAACACAGAAGGCAACGGCGGAGGCCCAGCGGGACCAUGGGGCUGAGCUGGGACUGGAACUCGCCUCCCAGGCCUGCGGCGGCGUCCUGAAAGGACCAGGAGCUCCCUGGAAUCCCGCAGCCAAACCUCCCUGCUCUGGUGACACUGGGAAGGUCCCUGAGACCUGCCUCAGCAAGAGCAGUCGUGUUUUUUGUUUUUUGUUUAAAUCUCCAUCACAGGGAGCUGUGAAGUGGCCGCCCCUGUCUGUUCUCAAUGGCUUUCUGGACAGACGUCCCACCCAGGGCCCUCCUUGGGUUGCUUUCAUUCCCCACCCCCACCCGGGCAGCUUGGACUGGCCUGUGCUCAGGAAGCCCUGACCGGCUGUGUCAUCCCAGCUGGUGUCCAGAGCUGGCUGCUCCAGGCCCCGAGGACGACCCACUCCCACCCCCAGGUGGCACAGGGCACAGUGCCACACCGUCCCUCCCUGCCCCUUCCCCAGGACGGCUGUGGUCUCCUUGCCAAACGCCGCCAACUGAGAAGCUCUGUUACGUCUCCAUGAACUCAUGACUUCCCCGUGGUCCCAGGCCAUGGGGGGGGGCGGGCUCUUGGCUCCCCCUACUUCCUCCCCCGACUGUUAAUAUGGCUCUCCCCUGCCUCCCAGAUCACGGCAGCUGGAGGCGCGGAGAGGCGCUCCUGAUUUCUCCUUUCUCCUCAGAAAGGCGGUGAUUUUUUCCCAGGAGAGAUCCUAGAGGAACAAUCUGGUCUUCUGACCUGCGCAAACUUUUAACACCUAGAAAACAUCAGGUGCUUAAUGAAUGCGGAGCUUCCGAAUACAGCAGAUGCUCAAUUACUGCACGAGACAGGAAACUUCUGGUGUGCACCAUGUGGCCUUGUUGUUUCUCUCGGCAUACCCUGGCCCCACCACUGUCUCUGUCGCCAAGGAAGGGGCUGGUGUCCCAGUUUGCCACCGCGGGGCCCAGUGUUAAAAUCUUUUUUUCUUUUCUUUUCUUCGGUGCUGGGACUUGAACCUGGCCUUGCCCUUGCCAGGCAAGUGCUCCUCCUCAGUGUGAAAAUCUCAACAGAAACAGCAGAGCCACACUCAUGACGUGCGCAGGUUGCGCACAGCCUUGGACCACUUUCUCUUCCCUCCCAGCAUACUGGGAGCCCCUCUGGACAAAGAGUGGGAGGGUCCCCACUCAUAGCUCUGUCACCUGCAGGCAGCAGGUGACAGCCACCUCUGCCCCAGGUCUUGGAGCCCACCUGGCUGAAGCAGCACCCGGCCCGCUCCCAGCGGGUCCACCCUGGGCAGCCUGGACUUCUGCCCCCCAUCCCUCUGGUCUCGCUCCCAUAAUUCCUUCUCCACGCAGCAGCAGC